UGUAUAAUGCCUUAACCACUCUAGCUUUCUAUUUAACCCUUGUAGCGAGUAUUAGGCCAAUGACUCCCAAAGCAGUUAGUUUUAAGAUAUUAGGUGUAAAACACCCCUCGGACUUACUGACUCGAGUCAAACAAACUAUAGGUUGAGACCUGGCUAUAUGAUAAAUUUUUUUCCACAUUGUCCACUUUUUGAUGCGAAUAUUAUUACUUAGACAACG
rnacentral:lncRNA from 1 species